UACGAAGGGGGCUAGCGUUGCUCGGAUUGACUGGGCGUAAAGGGCGCGUAGGCGGCUUGUACAGUCAGACGUGAAAUUCCUGGGCUCAACCUGGGGGCUGCGUUUGAUACGUAUGGGCUUGAGUUCGGAAGAGGGUCGUGGAAUUCCCAGUGUAGAGGUGAAAUUCGUAGAUAUUGGGAAGAACACCGGUGGCGAAGGCGGCGACCUGAUCCGAUACUGACGCUGAGGCGCGAAAGCGUGGGGAGCAAACAGG
rnacentral:rRNA from 1 species